GACCGUGCAAAGGUAGCAUAAUCAUUUGCCUUAUAAUUGAAGGCUAGUAUGAAUGGUUUGACGAGAAUUAAGCUGUCUCUUUUCAAUUAAAUAUAAUUUUAUAUAUAGGUGCAGAAGCCUAUAUUAUAUUGAAAGACAAGAAGACCCUAUCGAGCUUUAAAUAAAUUAAUAAGUUAGUUAUAUAUUUAUAGAAGAGUUGAAUUAUUAAAAAUUUUAGUUGGGGCGACUGAGGAACAAAUAAAGCUUCCUUAUAAUUAUAAAUACAUACAGGUAUUGAUCCAAAAAAAUUUGAUUAAAGAAAUUAGUUACCGUAGGGAUAACAGCAUAAUCCUCUUUGAGAGUUCUUAUCGAAAAGGGGGUUUGUGACCUCGAUGUUGGACCAGAAUAUCCGGAAGAUGCAGCUGUCUUCAAUGGUUGGUCUGUUCGACCAUUAAAAUUCUACGUGAUCUGAGUUCAGACCGGCGUGAGCCAGGUCAGUUUCUAUCUUCAAUUAGUAAAAUGGCCUUAGUACGAAAGGACCAGGCUAUUACAUUACAUUGUUGUAAAUAGAUUUAAUAUAAAGAGUUAUUAGGUUAUUUGUUAAAUCAAAUUAGCAAAGAUAAUGCAAUUGACUUAGGAUCAAUAGACAUAGGUGAAAUUCCUUUAUUUGAUAAAAUUUAUUUGAUAUAAAGAUGGCAGAAAAA
rnacentral:rRNA from 1 species